rnacentral:rRNA from 1 species
UUAGCGGCGGACGGGUGAGUAACACGUGGAUAACCUACCUAUAAGACUGGGAUAACUUCGGGAAACCGGAGCUAAUACCGGAUAAUAUUUUGAACCGCAUGGUUCAAAAGUGAAAGACGGUCUUGCUGUCACUUAUAGAUGGAUCCGCGCUGCAUUAGCUAGUUGGUAAGGUAACGGCUUACCAAGGCAACGAUGCAUAGCCGACCUGAGAGGGUGAUCGGCCACACUGGAACUGAGACACGGUCCAGACUCCUACGGGAGGCAGCAGUAGGGAAUCUUCCGCAAUGGGCGAAAGCCUGACGGAGCAACGCCGCGUGAGUGAUGAAGGUCUUCGGAUCGUAAAACUCUGUUAUUAGGGAAGAACAUAUGUGUAAGUAACU